rnacentral:rRNA from 1 species
GACGAACCGUGCGAACGUUAUUCGGAAUCACUGGGCUUAAAGCGCGUGUAGGCGGCCCGGUAAGUCCGCUGUGAAAGUCCAGGGCUCAACCCUGGGAUGCCGGUGGAUACUGUCAGGCUCGAGCACAGUAGAGGCAGGUGGAAUUCCCGGUGUAGCGGUGGAAUGCGUAGAGAUCGGGAAGAACAUCAGUGGCGAAGGCGGCCUGCUGGGCUGUUGCUGACGCUGAGGCGCGACAGCGUGGGGAGCGAACAGG